rnacentral:tRNA from 1 species
GUGGAGUUUUGAAAUUUCAACUCAUCCUUGGUAAGGAUGAGGUCACCAGUUCAAAUCUGGUUAGCAGCUCCA